GACGAACGCUGGCGGCGUGCUUAACACAUGCAAGUCGAACGAUGAAGCCUAGCUUGCUAGGUGGAUUAGUGGCGAACGGGUGAGUAAUACGUGAGUAACCUACCUUUAACUCUGGGAUAAGCCCGGGAAACUGGGUCUAAUACCGGAUACGACCAAUCUCCGCAUGGGGUGUUGGUGGAAAGCGUUAUGUAGUGGUUAUAGAUGGGCUCACGGCCUAUCAGCUUGUUGGUGAGGUAACGGCUCACCAAGGCGACGACGAGUAGCCGGCCUGAGAGGGUGACCGGCCACACUGGGACUGAGACACGGCCCAGACUCCUACGGGAGGCAGCAGUGGGGAAUAUUGCACAAUGGGCGCAAGCCUGAUGCAGCGACGCCGCGUGAGGGAUGACGGCCUUCGGGUUGUAAACCUCUGUUAGCAGGGAAGAAGAGAGAUUGACGGUACCUGCAGAGAAAGCGCCGGCUAACUACGUG
rnacentral:rRNA from 1 species